rnacentral:lncRNA from 1 species
UUAAUUUUGCAUAUCAGGUAUUUUGUCUCAGCAAUGAGAAAAGUAACCAAGACAGUAAGUACAUACUUACCAAUGAUCCACCAAAUCCAACCUUAAGGGGAAUUAACAUGCACAUCCACACGGACUUAUACGUGAACAAUCGUUGAGGCAUUGUUCUGAAUUGCUAAAAUCUCAAAGUGAAGCAAGCAUCCAGCAGGUGGUAAAUGGAUAGAAAUGCGACGUACAUCCUUGUUAUGAAAUUCUAUGCAUUCAUUAAUACAGCAAAAUCACCUUGCAGAAUGCUUCUGGGAAUCAUCAGUGCACACCGCAGUU